UGCCUCAUCGGAGGCAAAAAUCGAGGGAAGCCGCGGCGGCGCCGCUAGACUUCGGCGGUGUUUUUCAGCCGGUUGGCCGGUGGUUUGGCUCUAAUUUGGCCAUAGGCGGAUUAAGCAUCGAAAAUGAGCCAAUGGGAGAAAAUUUACCUCGUUUGGUAGUAAGAAAAUCCUCCGGUGCGGCAGCGGGUGGCGACGGCCUGCUCCUCCGGUGACUGGGUCUUCUUCUCCGGCAAGGGUACUGGCAGCUAG
rnacentral:lncRNA from 1 species